AUUUGUAUGAUGAUUUUAUGUUCUGAAAUUAAAUUCUUGCUGAUUUCUAACUAAAAUUAAACCAAAAGGAUUCUGAAAUAAU